UACGAAGGGGGCUAGCGUUGCUCGGAAUCACUGGGCGUAAAGGGUACGUAGGCGGGUCUUUAAGUCAGGGGUGAAAUCCUGGAGCUCAACUCCAGAACUGCCUUUGAUACUGAGGAUCUUGAGUUCGGGAGAGGUGAGUGGAACUGCGAGUGUAGAGGUGAAAUUCGUAGAUAUUCGCAAGAACACCAGUGGCGAAGGCGGCUCACUGGCCCUAUACUGACGCUGAGGCACGAAAGCGUGGGGAGCAAACAGG
rnacentral:rRNA from 1 species